UCUCAAUGUAAGUACAGUGUUCCAUACACAGGUAAGUAUUCACAGGGCUGAGCUGUUAGCGUGCAGGGGUUCUAGCUCUCAAUGUAAGUACAGUGUUCCAUACACAGGUGGGUAUUCACAGGGCUGAGCUGUUAGCGUGCAGGGGUUCUAGCUCUCAAUGUAAGUACAGUGUUCCAUACACAGGUAAGUAUUCACAGGGCUGAGCUGUUAGCGUGCAGGGGUUCUAGCUCUCAAUGUAAGUACAGUGUUCCAUACACAGGUGAGUAUUCACAGGGCUGGGCUGUUAAUGCGCUACUCACCACUGAAGAUAUUCAGAGGUCUGUAUUCCAAGCAGAUACGGGUUUAGUCGAUGACUGACGGCUGGUGGGCCUUACAGAUGAAACUGCA